CUUCAGAGUAUAUUUAAAAGAAUACCGUGCAACAAUAAAGGUGCAAAGUUAAAAAACAAUGCAGCAACUUUAUGUGCAAACAAAGUAUUCAAUAUAUACUCAUUAAAGUGAAACGCAAUUAAGCAGACAGAUCACUCCACGAACUAAGAACGGCCAUGCACCACCUAUCACGCAAUCAUGAAAGGACUAGCAUAUUUGAUAUAAGAAUUGCUAUAUAUAAUUAAAAAUAAUUAUAUAUAGUCUUAUAAAAACCUGUCAAUCCUCAGCGUGUUCGGACCUGGUAAGAUUUCCCGCGUUGGGUCAAAUUAAGCCACAUGCUCCACGCGUUCUUGUGGUGCCCUUCCGUCAAUUCCUUCAAGUUUCACACUUGCGU
rnacentral:rRNA from 1 species